AACGAACGCUGGCGGCAGGCUUAACACAUGCAAGUCGAGCGCCCCGCAAGGGGAGCGGCAGACGGGUGAGUAACGCGUGGGAACCUACCCUUUGGUACGGUACAACUCGGCGAAAGCUGAGCUAAUACCGUAUGUGUCCUUCGGGAGAAAGGUUUAUCGCCAAGGGAUGGGCCCGCGUCGGAUUAGCUAGUAGGUAGGGUAACGGCCUACCUAGGCGACGAUCCGUAGCUGGUCUGAGAGGAUGAUCAGCCACACUGGGACUGAGACACGGCCCAGACUCCUACGGGAGGCAGCAGUGGGGAAUAUUGGACAAUGGGGGCAACCCUGAACCAGCCAUGCCGCGUGAGUGAUGAAGGCCUUAGGGUUGUAAAGCUCUUUCGCCCGCGAAGAUAAUGACGGUAGCGGGAGAAGAAGCCCCGGCUAACUUCGUGCCAGCAGCCGCAGUAA
rnacentral:rRNA from 1 species